rnacentral:rRNA from 1 species
GCUCCAAUAGCGUAUAUUAAAGUUGUUGCAGUUAAAAAGCUCGUAGUUGGAUUUCUGGUGGGGGCGCCGAUCCGCUCGAGGGCUGUUACAGGUCCGUUUGAAGAGUGUGUAUCAGGUGACGCGGCAUUGGUUUGUUGCGUGUCACCCCCAUCAUCCUCACGGGUGCAGCUCUGGGGCAUUGAUUUGCUUCGGGGUAUUAG